CCCUUAGAUGUUCUGGGCUGCACGCGCGCUACACUGGUCGAUGCAACGAGUUUCUUUCCUUGGCCGACAGGCCUGGGCAAUCUUUGAACAUCGAUCGUGAUCGGGAUAGAUUCUUGUAAUUUUUGAUCUUAAACGAGGAAUUCCUAGUAAACGCAAGUCAUCAGCUUGCAUUGAUUACGUCCCUGCCCUUUGUACACACCGCCCGUCGCACCUACCGAUUGAAUGGUCCGGUGAAAUCUCCGGACUGGCGUGAGUCGGAGCAAUCUGACAAACACCGGAAAGUUGAUUAAACCUUACCAUUUAGAGGAAGGUGAAGUCGUAACA
rnacentral:rRNA from 1 species